UACGGAGGGUGCGAGCGUUAUUCGGAAUUACUGGGCGUAAAGCGCGUGUAGGCGGGAGAGCAAGUCUGAUGUGAAAGCCCCGGGCUUAACCUGGGAAGUGCAUUGGAAACUGCUUUUCUUGAGUGCUGGAGAGGAAGGGGGAAUUCCCGGUGUAGAGGUGAAAUUCGUAGAGAUCGGGAGGAAUACCAGUGGCGAAGGCGCCCUUCUGGACGGCAACUGACGCUGAGACGCGAAAGCGUGGGGAGCAAACAGG
rnacentral:rRNA from 1 species